rnacentral:rRNA from 1 species
GAUGAACGCUGGCGGCGUGCCUAAUACAUGCAAGUCGAGCGAACGGACGAGAAGCUUGCUUCUCUGAUGUUAGCGGCGGACGGGUGAGUAACACGUGGAUAACCUACCUAUAAGACUGGGAUAACUUCGGGAAACCGGAGCUAAUACCGGAUAAUAUUUUGAUCCGCAUGGUUCAAAAGUGAAAGACGGUCUUGCUGUCACUUAUAGAUGGAUCCGCGCUGCAUUAGCUAGUUGGUAAGGUAACGGCUUACCAAGGCAACGAUGCAUAGCCGACCUGAGAGGGUGAUAGGCCACACGGGAACUGAGACACGGUCCAGACUCCUACGGGAGGCAGCAGUAGGGAAUCGUCCGCAAUGGGCGAAAGCCUGACGGAGCAACGCCGCGUGAGUGAUGAAGGUCUUCGGAUCGUAAAACUCUGUUAUUAGGGAAGAACAGAUGUGUAAGUAACUGUGCACAUCGUGACGGUACCUAAUCAGAAAGCCACGGCUAACUACGUG